rnacentral:sRNA from 1 species
AUAUUAGUGAUCUACCUAAGACUCAGGUGACCUAUUGGUCUUAAACUGCCUGCCGAGGAAGAAGUUUAUGAUGAACUUUUGACUCUCUAUGUCUUGGUGGCAUAGGGAUUUUUUUAU